GGAUAUCUCGGCUCUCGCAUCGAUGAAGAACGUAGCGAAAUGCCAUACCUUGUGUGAAUUGCAGAAUCCGCGAAACAUUAAUCUUUGAACGCAAGUUGCGCCCGAAGSCUUUUGGCCGAAGGCACGCCUGCCUGGGCGUAACCCAAAAAC
rnacentral:rRNA from 1 species